rnacentral:lncRNA from 8 species
AUGGCUACACCCACAACUGUCAAAGCCCUGAUCUGUGGUGACAGAGGAGGAUUGUCUGUGGUUAAGUACAAGAUCACAGCCACUCCAGGUGGCUUCAGGAGCCAGCAGAGGGAGUUGGCGGUGGCCCGCGUGGUGGAUGGACAGGAGCUGAGGUUUUUCACCCCCGUCAGGCGCUCUGUGAAGAUCAAUAGGUCUGCACUCCGCUACCCCGCCUCCCUCCAGGAGCACGACCUCUGUGUUGCCUCCUUCAAUGACCUGAUGGUCCAGGAGGAGGAUAGAGAUGUGGCGAGGGAGGGAGACAGAGAGGAUGAAGGCAGCUCCGGGCUCAUCCUGAAUGGCCAUCUGUACGUGUACAGAGAGAACGAGGCACUGAGAGAACAGGUCAAUAUCCAGCUUGUCUACGCUGAAGAAGACUAAGGGCUACAUUCCAAUACUCUGAAGUGGCGCUUCCUCUCCUGGUUUCAUCCUAGCCUAUCAAUCCUGAUCUAAUAGUACAGGAAUAGGUGCAGGGGUGGUGGUGGAUGAUGCCCAUUCACCCUCUAGGAAUGUAGCUUUCAACUGUCUAGUUGUUUGCCUUCAGUGCAGCGUCACAGUGUUGUGUUCGAGGCCACUUAAAGUGAGACUGAUUUAAGACCGAGACCAGAACAGUGUGAGUCUAACUCAAGACCAUGAUUGUAAUUGUGUCAAAUCGCCACCAUAAUAACAGUUCAAAAUGUUCAAUAUUUCCGAAGACCAGGGGUUUGUAAACGUUUUCAGCCUGGGAGCCAAAUGAGAAAUUCAUAAUUUUUUCAUCAAAGUAGUAUUUUUUAGCCAAGCAAAGCGGUUUUAUGCCUGAUUGAAUGGGAGCUGAUAAUUAAGGUUUUUAAUCCGCUGGUCUCCAGAAGAAAUCAUGAGUCCUCAUUGUCCAAGGCUGAGUAAAAAUGUAUCCGACACCGAGAUGAGACCGAGACACUGUGGUUUUGAGACCAAGAUCGGUCUCUAGUACUACAACACUGCAGGGUCGAAUUUUCCUCUAGUGGUGGAUGGGUAAAAUUCCUUGGGGAAGCCAGGAAAAAAGCUAUGUUACAUGUUAUAAUGUAAUGUAAUGUAAUGUAAUGUUAUGAUAAUUGUGUUAUUUCCUCUACAACCUGUUAGUUCAUAUGCCCUGAGACCGUGAUAUAUACAGUGCAUUUGGAAAGUAUUCAGACCCAUUGACUUUUUCACAUUUUGUUACGUUACAGCCUUAUUCUAAAAUGGAUUAAAUUUUGUUUUUUACUCAAUCUACACACAAUACCUCCUAAUGACAAAGCAAAAAGUUUUUUUUUUAAUGAUAUAUAUAUAUAUACCGAGUCUUUACUCAGUACUUUGUUGAAGCACCUUUUGGCAGCGAUUACAGCCUCUAGUCUUCUUGGGUAUGACGCUACAAGCUUGGCACACCUGUAUUUGAGGAGUUUCUCCCAUUCUUCUCUGCAGAUUCUCUCAGGCUCUGUCAGGUUGGAUGGGGAGCGUUGCUGCACAGCUAUUUUCAGGUCUCUCCAGAGAUGUUUGAUCGGGCUCUGGCUGGGCCACUCAAGAACAUUGAGAGACAUGUUCCGAAGCCACUCCUGCAUUGUCUGAUUGUAACAGUUGUCCUGUUGGAAGUUGUACCUUCGUCCCCAGUCUGAGGUCCUGAGCAGGUUUUCAUCAAGAUCUCUCUGUACUUUGCUCCGUUCAUCUUUCCCUUGAUCCUGACUAGUCUUCCAGACCCUGCUGCAGAAAAACAUCCACACAGCAUGAUGCUGCCACCACCGUGCUUUACCGUAGGGAUGGUGCCAGGUUUCUUCCAGACUUGACACUUGGCAUUCAGGCCAAAGAGUUCAAUCUUGGUUUCAUGGUCUGACAGUCCUCUUAGGGAUCCCUUAAAGCGCCAAUCCCGUUAGCGGGAUAGAUUUGACAACGUCGGUGAAAUUGCAGAGCGCCAAAUUCAAACUACAGAAAUAUAAAUAUUCAACAUUCACGAAAAUAUAAGUGUAAUACAUCAAAAUAAAGCUUAAUUUCUUGUUAAUCCAGCCGCUGUGUCAGAUUUCAAAAAGGCUUUACAGCGAAAGCACCCCAUGCGAUUAUCUGAGGACAGCACCCCGCAUACAAAAACAUGAAAAUCAUUUUUCAACCAGGCAGGUGCGACACAAAAGUCAGAAAUAACGAUAUAAUAAAUGCCUUACCUUCGAAGAUCUUCAUCUCUUUGCAAUCCCAAAUGUCUCAGUGACACAAUGAAUGGUCGUUUUGUUCGAUAAAUUCCUUCUUUAUAUCCCCAAAAUGUCCAUUUUACUUGGCGCGUUUGAUUCAGAAAUACACCGGUUCCAACUCGCCCAACAUGACUAAAGUAUCUAAUAAGUUACCUGUAAACUUGGGCCAAACAUUUCAAACAUUUUUAAUCCAACCUCAUGUACCCUAAAAUGUAAAUAAUCGAUCAGAUCUAAGAUGGGAUAAACAGUUUCCAAUACCGAAGAAAAACAACACGGAGCGCACUCUUGUUUACACGCACCAAAAGACUAGAGACCUUCUGAGUGACACAUGGAAUGAAUAGGACUACUUCUUCAUUUCUCAAAAGAAAAACAAACAAUUUCUAAAGACUUGACAUCUAGUGGAAGCCAUAGGAACUGCAAUCUGGGCCCUAAUAAAUCAGGUUUUCCAUAGAAAAGCAUAGGAAAACACAAUGACCUCAACAACAAAAAAUUCCCUGGCUGGAUUGUGCUCGGGGUUUCGCCUGCCAAAUCAGUUUUGUUAUACUCACAGACAUUAUUUUAACAGUUUUAGAAACUUAAGAGUGUUUUCUAUCCAAUACUACUAUGCAUAUACUAGCUUCUGGGCCUUAGUAACAGGCAUUUUACUUUGGGCACGCUUUUCAGCCGGACGUGAAAAUACUGCCCCCUAUCCCAAAGAAGUUUCAAGGUGCCUUUUGGCAAACUCCAAGCGGGCUGUCAUGUGCCUUUUUCUGAGGAGUGGCUUCCGUCUGGCCACUCUACCAUAAAGACCUGAUUGGUCUAACCACUAGGCUACCUGCCACCCCCAAAUAAAUAAGGUAUUUCAGUUUUUUAUUUUUAAUACAUUUGCAAAAAUGUCUAAAAACAUGUUUGCUUUGUCAUUAUGGGUUAUUGUGUGUAGAUUGAUUAGGAUUUUUUAUAA